CUUUUGAGAUGCUUGUGGCCGUUGUCUGGGCGGUAGGCUUAGGCCUGUUCUGGGUUUGAUGUUAAAACGCUGUGAGCGAGAUGUGUGUUGACAUUGUGGUUUCAUUUUAUCACAUGAAAUGGAACUGGGGAGAUGUCUCCCUGUGAAUCUAAAAGGAAGUCAUUGUGUUCUCUCUUCUUCCUCCUCCUUUUCGAUUCUUAUAUCUUCUUGCUCGCAAGUGGUUGUGUGGAACGGCGACGAGACUCACCUGGUGGCCUGGUGCUCGACUACCGUGGAUCGACUUUUACUUUCGUCGAGAGUUACUUGCAUCACUGGAAAGUUCUAUAAUACCAGAGGAGCAAGAUGGAAAUUAUUAUCAUCAUCUCACUUCUCAUGCUUCUGGCAGUAGGAGUUUGGUUUAUAAUCCCAAAUUCCCAGAAAAAAGGCAAAGCAAAAGAAAUGAAAUCAGGUUCUACUGGAAAGACAUCUACGAGCUUUUCAAAGGAGGAAGUCUCAGAAGACAACACGAGGAAGGAUUGUUGGAUAAUUAUUAAGGAUAAGGUUUAUGAUGUCACUCCUUAUGUGGAGGAACAUCCGGGCGGAGAUGCCAUUCUAAACAAUGCUGGAGCUGAUUCCACAGAGGGUUUUUUUGGAUAGUUUGUAUAGGAUUUUACUAGAUUCUUUAUAGGGGCGUUCUUAUGGCCUUUGAAGAUUAUUAUGCCUUGCAAAUAUGGGGGUAAUGGACCAGAUUGACAAAGCCCACAACACGGCACUAGAGUCUUUGAUAUCAUCGAGGAUUUCUGCAUUGGCCUAUUGAAGGCUUCAUCGUAGAGUGGUGGAGAAGGGAUUGCAUUAUGUUCAUUGAUGAUUUAUUGAAGCCAAAGCAUUAGAAGCUGCAGAAUAUAUAUGUUUUGAACACACAAUCAUCAUCAGUUAUGUUGUUGAUGUUAGAGUGAAAUUCUUUUGCAGCUAUAAAACCCAGACCUGGCCUGAGCUUUGUAAUGUAACCCAUCUUUCAGCAGGAACUCUGUAGACAUAUUCAGACAACUAACUGUUGUGGUUGUACAUUUCUGCAUGUUUUUUCUCCUUAAACAA